GCACUCCUGAGGAGUCCCAUAAUAGGACGAAAUGGCCGUCCAGUGC
rnacentral:hammerhead_ribozyme from 1 species